rnacentral:rRNA from 1 species
UACGGAGGGUGCAAGCGUUAUCCGGAUUCACUGGGUUUAAAGGGUGCGUAGGUGGGUCUGUAAGUCAGUGGUGAAAUCUCCAAGCUUAACUUGGAACUGCCGUUGAUACUAUAGACCUUGAAUGCUGUGGAGGUGAGCGGAAUAUGUCAUGUAGCGGUGAAAUUGCUUAGAUAUGACAUAGAACACCAAUUGCGAAGGCAGCUCACUACCCAGAUAUUGACACUGAGGCACGAAAGCGUGGGGAUCAAACAGGA